GUGCCUGCUUUGGCAGCACAUGUGCUAAAACUGGAACGACACAGAGAAGACUAGCAGGGCCCCUGCUCGAGGAUGACCCACAGAUUCCAGAAGCGUUCCAUAUUGUU
ensembl:snRNA U6 U6 spliceosomal RNA